rnacentral:rRNA from 1 species
UACGUAGGGCGCAAGCGUUAUCCGGAAUUAUUGGGCGUAAAGAGCUCGUAGGCGGUUUGUCGCGUCUGCCGUGAAAGUCCGGGGCUCAACUCCGGAUCUGCGGUGGGUACGGGCAGACUAGAGUGAUGUAGGGGAGACUGGAAUUCCUGGUGUAGCGGUGAAAUGCGUAGAGAUCCGGAGGAACACCAGAGGCGAAGGCGGCCUACUGGGUCAGUACUGACGCUGAGCCGCGAAAGCCAGGGGAGCGAACGGG